AGGGAUAUUGGUUCAGAAAAAUGAUGCGCAAGAAGCUCUGCGAGAACUUUGCAGUGUUUAUACUUUCAUUCCCUUCAUUUUUAUACAAGAAGCUCUAACAUCAAUUCCUGGCUCCGCAACUGAAACCAUACAUGAUUAAUGAUGACCUGAACAGCGCCAGCCCAAUUGAAUUGAAGAAGAUGAGGAACACCCAAAGGAAACGUGGAUAUCGACUCUUAUAAGACCGAGAGAGAAGAGGCGAAGAAAACCAAAGAAUAAAAUGUUUUUGUCACAACCCACAAGUCCAACAAAAUCUCUGAUGGGAUAUUCAGUAUCCACUACGUCGUCGUUUUCCCACUUCUUCUCCGUCCCACCUUCUCUUCACACCUACACCAUCAAAAAUGGCGCGACGAUCCCCUUCCUUUCUCUCUCCUCAAUGCCGCUCCCUCGACUCUAUCUCCGCCGCCGCGUCCCCCAAGACGCACCGUUUCACCUCGCUUCCGAAACCACCCGCAGAGCUUCAUCAACAACUCGCAAUGUCAAAGCCCAAGCUUCACUCCCAGACCCGCCCUCCUCUUCCUCCAAAACAAAACGCGUCGUUUUGGUCUCCGCUUUGACCAUUGCUCUGGCCGUCGCCAACCGCGUGCUCUACAAGCUCGCUCUCGUCCCCAUGAAAAACCACCCUUUCUUCUUGGCCCAAUUCACAACCUUCGGCUACGUGAUUAUAUAUUUUUUGAUAUUGUUCGCACGAUACCGUUCUGGGAUUGUGACUGAUGAAAUGAUAGGCCUUCCCAAAUCACGGUUUGUGGCCAUUGGUGCCUUGGAAGCCCUUGGAGUUGCUUCUGGGAUGGCUGCUGCAGCCAUGCUUCCCGGACCGGCAAUACCCAUAUUGAGUCAGACGUUUUUGGUGUGGCAGCUGAGUUUUUCUGUCCUUCUUUUGGGGAGAAAAUACACAUUCAAUCAGAUCUCCGGCUGCAUACUCGUAGCUAUAGGUGUAGCAGUGGCUGUUACAAGUGGGUCUGAUUCGGGUCAGAUGCUAUCUGGAGUUGAGUCUAUGUGGCCAGUACUAAUGAUUGCUUCAAGUGCUUUUCAAGCUGGUGCAUCUAUAAUCAAGGAGUUCGUCUUCGUUGAUGCUGAGGCCCGCCUUAAGGAUAAAUCACUUGACAUAUUUGUUGUCAAUUCUUUUGGAUCUGGAUUUCAGGCUCUUUUUAUAUUUCUCUUUCUACCAUUCUUGUCAAAACUGAGAGGCAUACCAUUUGCGCAACUUCCUUCAUAUCUUAAAGAUGGUGCUGGUUGCUUUCUGAAUAUUGGAGCUGAUACAUCAGGUUGUAAUGGGGCUCCAUUGCUUCCGUUGCUUUACGUAGGUACCAAUCUGUUUUUCAACAUAUCAUUGCUGAGUGUAGUAAAGAUUUCCUCUGCGGUUGUUGCUUCUCUCAUUGUGAUGUUGUCAGUUAAUGCUUAUGGGUUGGAUAUUUCAUGAUCAUAUUAUUAUGACCACAUGUCAGUCACCAACCCUAAUAGGGACUACACAUAAGAACCAUCAGUUACCUGAUGAAGGGUACCUGGAUGACCACCCAUAAAAAGUGCCGAUAUCGAUUUAUAUUCUUUCCCUUCCAUUGCCAUAUCUGGAAGCGGGUGCAACUUUGAGCCCCUUUUUCCUCUUUGGUAGCACGGUUCUUUUGUUGGGUCUUAUUCUGUACAGCAUGCCUCAGCCUGCCAAGGAUGGCUCUGAAAUUAGUUGACAUUACAUACUACACUGUUAUAGAUGUUAUAUUCUUAUAGUCUCUUUAAGACCUGGAACACAACUCAUUUUUUC